CGAACGCUGGCGGCGUGCUUAACACAUGCAAGUCGAACGCGAAAGGGACUUCGGUCCUGAGUAAAGUGGCGCACGGGUGAGUAACGCGUAGAUAACCUGUCUUCAUGUCUGGAAUAAUACGCCGAAAGGGGUACUAAUACCGGAUAUUCUUGCUUUUCAUAAGUUAUGCAAGCAAAGGUGGCCUCUGCAUAUGCUACUGCAUGAAGAGGGGUCUGCGUACCAUUAGCUAGUAGGUGGGGUAAUGGCCUACCUAGGCGACGAUGGUUAGCGGGUCUGAGAGGAUGAUCCGCCACACUGGCACUGGAACACGGGCCAGACUCCUACGGGAGGCAGCAGUGAGGAAUAUUGCGCAAUGGGGGAAACCCUGACGCAGCGACGCCGCGUGAGUGAAGGAAGGCCUUCGGGUCGUAAAGCUCUGUCAAGAGGAAAGAAGUGUACAAUGGCUAAUACCUGUUGUAUUUGACGGUACCUCUAAAGGAAGCACCGGCUAACUCCGUGCCAGCAGCAGC
rnacentral:rRNA from 1 species